CGGGGAGUAGCGCAGUUUGAUAGCGCGCUUGCUUCGGGAGCAAGAGGUCGCGGGUUUAAAUCCCGCCUUCCCGA
rnacentral:tRNA from 1 species